UAAGAGUUUGUGGUGAGUUACACGUUCGAUGAUGGUCGGUCCCUUGAAUGAGAGCGGUCUUAUCACCUCAAUGACUGAAUGGAGGACGAAAUAUGACUCAUUCUUGUCAAAAGGUCCCUUUCUUGCAAAUUGAUGGGAGCUUUUAAUGCUCAACUUUGACUAUUAUACUUCAAAGUAUGUCCAAAGAACCAAUCAAGAUAUUCAACACAUUAACAGCUAGUCUCUCAGAACUUGAUGGAUGUCGCAACAGUAAGAUUAUAGGCUUCUGGGCAUAUGCCCUUUGGGUACAUCGGAUAAAAUUAGAACGGUAAGGAGAAGAUAUACAUGAAAUGAAUAUCACACUUACAGCGAACGACCAACUUGGUGUGUUCCAAGACGGAGAUAUGGUACUUGAGCAACAAGUUCCUGAG
rnacentral:lncRNA from 1 species